rnacentral:rRNA from 1 species
GACGAACGUUGGCGGCGUGCUUAAUACAUGCAAGUCAACUGAAGCAGUGGUAGCAAUAUCGCUGUGGAGGUGGCGCACGGGUGAGUAACACGUAGGUAAUCUGCCUUCAGGUCUGGCAUAACUCCGGGAAACCGGGGCUAAUAGCAGAUGAUGCAGCGGCUCGACAUCGAGACAGUUGUUAAAGCUAUGGCGCCUGAAGAUGAGCCUGCGUCUGAUUAGCUAGUUGGCGGGGUAACGGCCCACCAAGGCAACGAUCAGUAGCUGGUCUGAGAGGAUGAUCAGCCACACUGGAACGGAGACACGGUCCAGACUCCCACGGGAGGCAGCAGUAAGGAAUAUUGCUCAAUGGGAGAAAUCCUGAAGCAGCAACGCCGCGUGAGAGACGAAGGGCUUUUGCUUGUAAACCUCUGUAGUGAGAGAAAAAAAUCCCAAUCUUUGGGACAUGAUGGUAUCUCAAAAGUAAGCCCCGGCUAACUACGUG